rnacentral:misc_RNA from 1 species
GAUGAAGAACUCAGCGAAACGCGAUAAGUAAUGUGAAUUUCAGAAUUCAGUGAAUCAUCGAAUCUUUGAACGCAUCUUGCGCUCCUUGGUAUUCUGAGGAGCAUGCCUGUUUGAGUGUCAUUAAUUUCUCAACUACACUGACUUUGAAUUGGUGUGGCUUGGAUUUGGGGGGAAAAUUGUUGUGGGCUUUUUGUAUAGUCUGCUCCCCUGAAAUUGAUUAGCGGUACCUUUGUGGAACUGUCUACAGGUGUGAUAAUUAUCUACAUCUUAGACAUCUGCUGGAAUGCUGCUUUCUAAACCUUACUUGUAUUGACAAUCUUGACCUCAAAUCAGGUAGGACUACCCGCUGAACUUAAGCAUAUCAAUAAGCGGAGGA